rnacentral:lncRNA from 1 species
AGGAUUUUCUAUUGCGGAGCUUUGAUGCUAACAACCAUGGAUGGCGAAGGAUUCCCAUCCCCUAUUAACUCAGACGCAGUUAAAAAAAAAUACUUCGCAUAAAAUAGACCCGUUGGACGAUAAAAAGAAUAGUCCAGGCAAAAAAAAAAGGCAUCCCGACGAACCAAAAAAAAAAGAAUAAAGAGGUUCGGGAAAAAAUUAGGGAUAUAAAAAAA